GUUUGAGGACAGUUGCAUUUAGUUGUCUUUUCUGAGUUUUUUUGUAGACAAUUGAAGACUCACUCAAUGGAUCCAGCAGAAAAAGUUAAGAAGUUGGAUAGGAUUUUAGCCUUGGAAAUGGAAGUUUCCCAUAUAAAUUCCCAGAUAAAGAGUCUCAGUGAUCAAAAGCGAACUAAAACCUCGGAGAUUAUAGCAUUAAAAAGGGAACUAGGACUACUUUAUGAAGGUCAAGUAAGAACAAGGAAAAGGCCUUUCCCAAGAAAAUAAACUCAUUGAAUAACUUACUUACAUCUAACUUCUUGCACAUUCAACUUAUCUCACAUUUAACUUACAUGUAUCUCACACAUUUAUUGAUUAUUAGUGAUUGAUUAUUGCUGAGUCAUCGUCUUAAUGUUUGCUGACUCAUCAUUAAUUGUAAUAUUUACACUUGUUAACAAUACUUAACAUCAAUAAUAAA